UACGAAGGGGGCUAGCGUUGCUCGGAAUCACUGGGCGUAAAGGGCGCGUAGGCGGCCAUUCAAGUCAGGGGUGAAAGCCUGUGGCUCAACCACAGAAUUGCCUUUGAUACUGUUUGGCUAGAGACCGGAAGAGGUAAGUGGAACUGCGAGUGUAGAGGUGAAAUUCGUAGAUAUUCGCAAGAACACCAGUGGCGAAGGCGGCUUACUGGUCCGGUUCUGACGCUGAGGCGCGAAAGCAUGGGGAGCGAACGGG
rnacentral:rRNA from 1 species